CCCUUAGAUGUCCUGGGCCGCACGCGCGCUACACUGACAUGUUCAACAAGCCUCCUAGUUCGACAGGAUUUGGGAAAUCUUUGAACGCAUGUCGUGAUAGGGAUAGAUCAUUGCAAUUAUUGAUCUUGAACGAGGAAUUCCUAGUAAACGCGAGUCAUCAGCUCGCAUUGAUUACGUCCCUGCCCUUUGUACACACCGCCCGUCGCUCCUACCGAUUGGGUGAGCCGAUGAAACUCUCGGAUGUAGGCUAUUCAUAGCCCGCAGAAGAGAUUUGAAUCGUAGCGCUUAGAGGAAGGAGAAGUCGUAACA
rnacentral:rRNA from 1 species